AUCUAAAUAAUUUGUUUCUUGUUUCAACUUAUAUCAGGACCAUCUAAUUUUCCUCUCUCAAGCCAUUUUGUGAAGACCUAAUACAGUGGCACCACAACAGAGUCCAUUCCAAAACUACAGAAGAACGCCAAAUUUCAACGAAGUCUUAGCUGAUUGAAAGGUGUUGAUCAAUCAGAAUUUUCAUACAAUGUUUGGUGGAUAAUUUUAUCUUGAAAGAUAAAAUAUGAAUCUUUAUAAGUGUAUCUUUAUAAAUUGUAACAUAGAUGGAGACUUGCAGUUCCUUUACCACUGGGUGGCUAUUUUCUUAGUGUUUGUAAACAGGAUUGACACAAAGUUGAAACUUUGAUAUGUAUAUCUCACUGAAGUUGAUGUAUCUGUGCACAAUUGUACUAUGAAUAUUUGAUUGCUGUAAAUAAUUAUGUAUGGAUCUAAUCAUGAGUGCAAUAU